rnacentral:rRNA from 1 species
UACGUAGGGGGCAAGCGUUGUUCGGAUUCAUUGGGCGUAAAGGGUGCGUAGGCGGCGCGGUAAGUCGGGUGUGAAAUCUCGGGGCUUAACUCCGAAACUGCAUUCGAUACUGCCGUGCUUGAGGACUGGAGAGGAGACUGGAAUUUACGGUGUAGCGGUGAAAUGCGUAGAUAUCGUAAGGAAGAUCAGUGGCGAAGGCGGGUCUCUGGACAGUUCCUGACGCUGAGGCACGAAGGUCAGGGGAGCAAACGGG